UACGGAGGGUGCAAGCGUUAUCCGGAUUCACUGGGUUUAAAGGGUGCGUAGGCGGGUUGGUAAGUCCGUGGUGGAAUCCCCAAGCUUAACUUGGGAACUGCCGUGGAUACUAUCAAUCUUGAAUAUCGUGGAGGUAAGCGGAAUAUGUCAUGUAGCGGUGAAAUGCUUAGAUAUGACAUAGAACACCAAUUGCGAAGGCAGCUUACUACACAAAUAUUGACGCUGAGGCACGAAAGCGUGGGGAUCAAACAGG
rnacentral:rRNA from 1 species